rnacentral:rRNA from 1 species
UACGGAGGGAGCUAGCGUUGUUCGGAAUUACUGGGCGUAAAGCGUGUGUAGGUGGCUCGUUAAGUCUGGUGUGAAAGCCCUGAGCUCAACUCAGGAAUUGCAUCGGAAACUAACAAGCUGGAGUCCGGGAGAGGGUAGUGGAAUUCCUGGUGUAGAGGUGAAAUUCGUAGAUAUCAGGAGGAACACCGGUGGCGAAGGCGGCUACCUGGACCGGUACUGACACUGAGACACGAAAGCGUGGGGAGCAAACAGG